rnacentral:rRNA from 1 species
UUCACGGAGAGUUUGAUCCUGGCUCAGGACGAACGCUGGCGGCGUGCUUAACACAUGCAAGUCGAACGAUGAACCUCCUUCGGGAGGGGAUUAGUGGCGAACGGGUGAGUAACACGUGGGCAAUCUGCCCUUCACUCUGGGACAAGCCCUGGAAACGGGGUCUAAUACCGGAUACGACUACCGACCGCAUGGUCUGGUGGUGGAAAGCUCCGGCGGUGAAGGAUGAGCCCGCGGCCUAUCAGCUUGUUGGUGGGGUGAUGGCCUACCAAGGCGACGACGGGUAGCCGGCCUGAGAGGGCGACCGGCC